GGUCCCUUAGCUCAGUUGGUUAGAGCAACUGACUCAUAAUCAGUGGGUCCUUGGUUCGAACCCAAGAGGGACCA
rfam:Bacterium F083 scaffold_2, whole genome shotgun sequence.